UUACAGCCAUAUCAUGUUGAAACACUGAUUCCUGUACGUUCAUCAAAGUUAAGCAACGUUGAGACUGGCUAGUACCUAGAUGGGUGACCACUUGCAAAUACCAGGUAAUGUAA